rnacentral:miRNA from 1 species
GUUAUAAUGGAGGCAGAAUCGAUUACAUUGAGCUUUUAAGAUGAAAAAGAUCCGGGCUAGAGAGAUGGCUCAGCCGUUAAAGGCUAGGCUCACAACCAAAA